rnacentral:piRNA from 2 species
AACUGUGUGGAGGUAUAGGUGU